rnacentral:rRNA from 1 species
CACGUAGGGGCCAAGCGUUGUCCGGAUUUAUUGGGCGUAAAGAGCUCGUAGGCGGUUCGGUAAGUCGGGUGUGAAAACUCUGGGCUCAACCCAGAGACGCCACCCGAUACUGCUGUGACUCGAGUCCGGUAGGGGAGUGGGGAAUUCCUGGUGUAGCGGUGAAAUGCACAGAUAUCAGGAGGAACACCGGUGGCGAAGGCGCCACUCUGGGCCGGUACUGACGCUGAGGAGCGAAAGCGUGGGUAGCAAACAGG